AGAGUUUGAUCCUGGCUCAGAUUGAACGCUGGCGGCGUGCUUAACACAUGCAAGUCGUGCGAGAAAGGGGACUUCGGUCCCUGAGUAGAGCGGCGCACGGGUGAGUAACGCGUGGAUAAUCUACCCAGAUGUUCGGGAUAACGGUGGGAAACUGCCGCUAAUACCGGAUACGAUCCAAUUUCGGUUGGAUGAAAGGCGGCCUCUGCUUGCAAGCUGUCGCAUCUGGAUGAGUCCGCGUCCCAUUAGCUUGUUGGUGGGGUAAUGGCCUACCAAGGCUACGAUGGGUAACUGGUCUGAGAGGAUGAUCAGUCACACUGGAACUGAAACACGGUCCAGACUCCUACGGGAGGCAGCAGUGGGGAAUAUUGCGCAAUGGGGGAAACC
rnacentral:rRNA from 1 species